AGGGCAUGUGCACGCUACAACGAGCUGGGCAGGAGAAGACAGAAGAGCACGGCCAUCAGAGAGCAGCUUGCAUCUUGCCCUGGAAAGGUGAUGUGUUUGGAGUGUGCAGCAAAUCCGUGUUUCUGGGCAAGGAUGGGAUAAUUGCGCUGCGCUGCUAAGCUUUCUCCCUGCGAGAAACACUAACAAAGCUUUUCGCUAUGAUGCAGUCUAGUUGCAGACGCACACUACGGCUCUCUGGAGCUGUCCGAAGCCAAGCGCCGGUCGCCGGCGUCUUUCGGCUGAAGCAGCGCUUCGGAGCGUACGGCUGCCGCUCCGCUGUUGUGUGCGCGAAGCAGCCGCUUCUCCUGCUCCGGGANNNNNNNAGAGCGGUAGCUUGUACGAGGGCGAAGAAUGAAGCCGCAGAGCACCGGGCUUCUGAGCGCACCCUAAGGACUGCUAGAGGACAGUGGAGGCCGCUCGCCUGCCUCUUCAAUUCCCAUCUAGCAUACUUACGGAAGGUGUUACAGGACAAUUGCCCUGGGUUUUCACAUCGUCCUGAUGCAGCCCCUCUUGGGAAAUUCGUGCUCGUCCCCAAAGGCUCGAGAAGCAGAGAACUCGAUGGCAGCUGCCGAAAUGAAGGACUCCGUAGAAUUGUCGAGAAGCAAGAACAUAGACAGUGCCUUGUGUUUGGGAGUCAGCAGCAGACUUUUGCGAUUGCUUUCACUGUGCACUGAAUGCCAGGACGGCAUGUGCACGCUACAACAACGGGCUGGGCAGGAGCAGACUGAACAGCACGGCCAUCAGAGAGCAGCUUACACAUUGCCAUGAAAAGAUCAGUGUUUUUGGAGUGUGCAGAAAAUACGUGUUUCUGGGCAAAGGCGGGAUAAGUGUGCUGUGCUGCUAAGCUUUCUCCCUGCGAGACACACUGCCAAAGCUUUUCGCUAUGAUGCAGUCUAGUGCAGACGCACACUACGGCUCUCCGGAGCUGUCCGAAGCGAAGCGCCGGUCGCCGGCGUCUUUCGGCUGAAGCAGCGCUUCGGUGCGUACGGCUGCCGCUCCGCUGUUGUUUGCGCGAAGCAGCCGCUUCUCCUGCGCCGGAGAGAGCGGUAGCUUGUACGAGGGUGAAGAACGAAGCCGCAGACCACCGGGCUUCUGCGCGCACCCUAAGGACUGCUAUAGAACCGAGGCUCAAGUUCCCUGCCUUUUGAAUGCACUGCUGGCAUGCAA
rnacentral:lncRNA from 1 species